rnacentral:rRNA from 1 species
UGGAAGUUAAAAAAUCGUAACAAGGUUUCCGUAGGUGAACCUGCGGAAGGAUCAUUACCGAGUUUUCGGGCUUCGGCUCGACUCUCCCACCCUUUGUGAACGUACCUCUGUUGCUUUGGCGGCUCCGGCCGCCAAAGGACCUCCAAACUCCAGUCAGUAAACGCAGACGUCUGAUAAACAAGUUAAUAAACUAAAACUUUCAACAACGGAUCUCUUGGUUCUGGCAUCGAUGAAGAACGCAGCGAAAUGCGAUAAGUAAUGUGAAUUGCAGAAUUCAGUGAAUCAUCGAAUCUUUGAACGCACAUUGCGCCCCUUGGUAUUCCGGGGGGCAUGCCUGUUCGAGCGUCAUUACAACCCUCAAGCUCUGCUUGGAAUUGGGCACCGUCCUCACUGCGGACGCGCCUCAAAGACCUCGGCGGUGGCUGUUCAGCCCUCAAGCGUAGUAGAAUACACCUCGCUUUGGAGUGGUUGGCGUCGCCCGCCGGACGAACCUUCUGAACUUUUCUCAAGGUUGACCUCGGAUCAGGUCGGGAAACA